ACGCACGCACGCACGCACGCACGCACGCACGCACGCACGCACGCACGCACGCACGCACGCACGCACGCACGCACGCACGCACGCACGCACGCACGCACGCACGCACGCACGCACGAAUAGAAAUCUACUACCUGUUAUAUCAACCCGUAACAUUGUUUGAGGGUUCAUUAUGUUCUUGCAAACAUUCCAGACACUGGAAUUUUCUAAAGACAGGUCAAGGCUGAUGGAGCCCUGUAAGUUGCCUGUUGACUUUCCCUCAUCCAGAGAGCACUGUCAGGAACAAGCGUUUUCAUCUUGUGAAGUUGAUUUGUCUUUGUUUCCAAGAAGCAUGUCCAGGUUUAGCGUUCCUUUUUCUUUCUUCUUCUUUGAAAUAGGGUCUCUUGACAUUAGGCCUAGCUGGCCUGGAACUCACAGAGAUCUGCCUACCUCUGCCUUCCAAGUGCCGGGAUUAAAGAUGAAUCUUACCAGACUCGAUUUGCAAAGCACUGAAGGAGUUUUGUUUAGAGACCUACACUGCAAUGCCGAACCAGGAAGACAGGCAUCUGCCUGAAGCUAGCAGACGAAAUGCUGGGCAGAAGAGGAAUUAAUUCUGUGCCUAUUGUUCUUAAGACCGAUGACCUAGUCUCCACUUUGAAACCACCUCACAUGCUACUGAAAAUGCAUGAGACCAAGGACACAUGCUUAUUUUAUUGGAUUCCUUAAAACGCUGCUUCUCUCAUUUGCCUUUCUUUUAACCCCUGGGGAAUUACAUUCAGAGGGGGGAGUUUUAGUGUGGAACUGCUUUUGCCUUCUGUGUCUUUCAAGCAGCUGGCGAUUUCUGCUCUUUAAUUGUAGCUCCCUUCUAGCAAGCAUCUCCUCAUCCUUGGGUGUUUUAGAAAGUCAGGAGCUGUUCAGGGUAGCUUUAGUUAUUGAUCUCCAAGGUUUUGGAUCAUGCAUACAAAAGCUGUUAUUGUGCUUUACAAAAGUUAGUGAAAAUUUUCAAGCUCAUUAUGAAUCAAGGACAAUCGUGGUUGGCGGCUGGCAUUUGGGCUCACUCAUAUGCUGCCUGCUUUGUGCUGUGGGCAAAAAAAUUUAAGUCACUGAGGUGGAAAUUACACAUGCAGAACUGCAGCUUUCAGACACUUCCCACCUGCCCUUUCAUUUUGUUGAGCCAUUGGGAAAACGUCUUGAGGGAAUGAAGAUCUAGAGUCAGUUACAGAUGACAGAUUUAUCUACUCACAAUCUAUUAAAUGUCUUUCUUGUAAUCAGAGCUUUAAAAUAUGAUGCCAAGAGGACUAGAUGGGCAGUUCAAUCACCCUCACGGUGCACAUGCACAAACUCCUGUCAACUCUAACUCUGUGUUGUAGCACAUUAUUUCUGUCUCUUCUGCCCAUUAUUUUGUCUUGAAAUGUUAACAUAGCAGCAUAGCACUCAGUGAAUUAACAAAUAAGUCUGGAGAGGUAGGCUUCUUUUUUGUCUUUAGGUAAUUUCAAUGAAUUGUAAGAGUUUUACUUUGAGACAGAGUCAUGACUGUUGUUUUAUAUGAGAAAAAACUUACUUUAUAGAGUUGAUAAUUGAGAUCCAGUAAUAAAUAGUUUCAGUUGGGCAGUUUUAGUACAUACCUUUAGUACAUACCUUUAACAAACCAACUAACUAGCUAGCUAGCUAGCUAACUAACUAAUAUUGAGCUUGGAAUUAGAUUGAAGGCCUUGUGCUUACUAGGCAAGUGCUCUAUCAUUGAGCUAAACUCACAACCCUUAAACUGUUCACCUUUAACAAUAUUCUCCCAAAAAGUAGUUUAUUAGUGAAAAGGCAAUAAAAUGAUACACUACCAGAUACAAUAGUUUGUUUUGAGUACAUCUGCUUAGAACCAAACCAAAGCAACCAACCAAACGGAAAACCCUUGAUGUCACUAUGCUUCAGUUGAGGUCUACUUUAUGUUUCCCUUCAAAAAUCUAGUUUUCCAUUGGAAAGUCAUGUCUAAAGAUAUGUCAUUUCAAGAUUCUUUUGGAAAAAUAUGGUAUAUAAAUGAUGUUUCAGUAUAUAUGUAUACAUAUAUAUAUGCAUAUAUCCACAUACACACAGUGAAAUGAUUAUUACCUUCAAGAAUUUGAACACAUCAGUUAUUUCUUUAGAGUUAUAUCCAUUACAUUACAUUAUAUCCAUUGCAGUUAUGUGAUGAUUUUGAGUGGGGUUUUCUGUAAGCCCUAAAAUCUGUAGGGAGUAUAGAAAAUACAGUUCUGUGAAAAUGAAAGAAUUUCGGCUGUAGAACGAUCAGCUGUUUUGAUGGUUAUGCAUGGAUAAAAGGGUGAGAAAUGCAGGUAGACCACUCCCAAGGUGUGGCAACUGCUUAAUUCCACGAGGAAGAAGACCCCGAAAGUGAGGUUUUUCCUUUUGUUUUGGUUUGUUUUUGGUCUUUUGUUUGAUUGUUUGUUUCACAAGUCCUUUUGUUCAGUUAUCAAGCUAUAAAAAAUUUCCAAACUUUUAACUGUUGCCUAAACAGGUCUCCAUUUCCCCCCACAUCAUUAACAUUACUUUUAUUUCACUGCACAAAAGACAACAGUUAAUAAAUUAUUGAAGAGUCCGUGCAGGAAGGAUCUUACCUGAAAGUCUAGAGCACUCUGAUCAUGUGAUUGCUUUGCCAUGGCUCGUCUUGCCAUUCAGUACAAUGUGAAUUACAUGUAGGGAUCUCAGAACCACGAGUCAGCGUACCUGAAUGUCUCGCUCCAGCUGCAGCAGAUGGUACCUGUGCCAUGUGAGGAAAGCUGGUCCUUCGUGAGAGAAAUCCACAUCGCCAAAGCUCUCCUGUCCUGCCCCAAGGAAGGUUUUUUUGACUGAAUAAUAGUGUGUCCAAACAAAGUAGUUGUAAAUGGAAAUGUUCUCAAAUUGUGGUGUGCUGCCAUCUGGUCCCAGCAUGUCUUCUGACCUCCUUGUGGCAAUGACAAAUUGAGGGUGAGUUGUGCGCUUCGCCAUAUCCAAGGCCCUGACGAAGUGGCUUUUUUCUUCUGUACUUAAGUCAAGAAGAUUUCUCCUGACUUUAAGCAUGAAAAGAUUAAGACAAAAUUAGCACAAUCGUAUUACAACUACUAUGCCUCCAGUAGCCAUUAAUGGCCACAUGUAGACCUGUUCAGGGCUUUUGUACAUUAUUUGGUUGAUUAUCAUGACCAAGAUGCUUGGGACCAGAUAUACUUUGGAGUUUGCACAUUUUGAAAUAUUUUCUUAUACAUUACAGUUUAGGCAUUGGGUCCAAAGCUAAAUGUAAAAUCCAUUUGUUUCAUAUACACCUCAUUACACACAUGGCCUGAAGAUGGUUUCAACCUCAGUUUCAUUAUUUUGUGCUUAAAACAAAGGUUAGCAGUAUGGAGAUUUCCACUGGGAACACCAUGUUGGGCUGCAAAAAUUUCAGUCUGGAUACUAUUGGAAUUAUGAUUUUAAAGAUGUCCAAUCUGUAUAUUAAAAAUGCUCUUAAUUAAAUCUGUGUUUAUACUGAUCGCUCUUCAUUCCCCUCUUUGUCUCAGCAAUUUGCUCUUUGAUUUCUAAAAGCUUUCUUCAGUAUUACAUGCAGAUUUAUCAUUCAUUGUUAAAUAAAGAUUGUCAUAUUUA